rnacentral:rRNA from 1 species
UGAGGCCUACGGGGCGCAGCAGUGAGGAAUAUUGGUCAAUGGUCGGGAGACUGAACCAGCCACGCCGCGUGAGAGAUGAAGGUACAGAGUAUCGUAAACCUCUUUUGUGAGGGAACAAAGGCGGGGAAGCGUCCCCGGAUGAGGGUACCUGAAGAAAAAGCAUCGGCUAACUCCGUGCCAGCAGCCGCGGUAAUACGGAGGAUGCGAGCGUUAUCCGGAUUUAUUGGGUUUAAAGGGUGCGCAGGCGGGUUGUUAAGUCAGCGGUCAA